GUGUCAGCAGCCGCGGUUAUACGUAGGGUGCAAGCGUUAAUCGGAAUUACUGGGCGUAAAGCGUGCGCAGGCGGUUGUGUAAGUCAGAUGUGAAAUCCCCGGGCUCAACCUGGGAAUUGCAUUUGAGACUGCACGGCUAGAGUGUGUCAGAGGGGGGUAGAAUUCCACGUGUAGCAGUGAAAUGCGUAGAGAUGUGGAGGAAUACCGAUGGCGAAGGCAGCCCCCUGGGAUAACACUGACGCUCAUGCACGAAAGCGUGGGGAGCAAACAGGAUUAGAAACCCGGGUAGUCC
rnacentral:rRNA from 1 species